GUGACCUCAAAUCAGGUAGGACUACCCGCUGAACUUAAGCAUAUCAAUAAGCGGAGGAAAAGAAACUAACAAGGAUUCCCCUAGUAACUGCGAGUGAAGCGGGAAAAGCUCAAAUUUAAAAUCUGUCAGUCUUUGGCUGUCCGAGUUGUAAUCUAGAGAAGUGUUAUCCGCGCUGGACCGUGUACAAGUCUCCUGGAAUGGAGCGUCAUAGAGGGUGAGAAUCCCGUCUUUGACACGGACUGCCAGGGCUUUGUGAUGCGCUCUCAAAGAGUCGAGUUGUUUGGGAAUGCAGCUCAAAAUGGGUGGUAAAUUCCAUCUAAAGCUAAAUAUUGGCGAGAGACCGAUAGCGAACAAGUACCGUGAGGGAAAGAUGAAAAGAACUUUGGAAAGAGAGUUAAACAGUACGUGAAAUUGCUGAAAGGGAAACGCUUGAAGUCAGUCGCGUUAGCCAGGGAUCAACCCUUGCUUUUGCUUGGUGUACUUUCUGGUUGACGGGUCAGCAUCAAUUUUGACUGUUGGAAAAAGAUUAAGGGAAUGUGGCAUCUUCGGAUGUGUUAUAGCCCUUGGUUGCAUACAAUGGUUGGGAUUGAGGAACUCAGCACGCCGCAAGGCCGGGUUU
rnacentral:rRNA from 1 species